CCUACGGGAGGCAGCAGUAGGGAAUUUUCGUCAAUGGGCGCAAGCCUGAACGAGCAAUGCCGCGUGAACGAGGAAGGUCUUCGGAUCGUAAAGUUCUGUUGAAGGGGAAAAAGAGCGGAGAGAGGAAAUGGUCUCCGAUUGAUAUUACCCUUCGAGGAAGUCACGGCUAACUACGUGCCAGCAGCCGCGGUAAUACGUAGGGGGCGAGCGUUAUCCGGAAUGAUUGGGCGUAAAGGGUGCGUAGGCGGCCUGCUAAGUCGGGAGUGAAAGGUACCGGCUCACCCGGUACAGGCUCUGGAAACUGGCGGGCUAGAGAGCAGGAGAGGGCGGUGGAACUCCAUGUGUAGCGGUAAAAUGCGUAGAUAUAUGGAAGAACACCAGUGGCGAAGGCGGCCGCCUGGCCUGUUACUGACGCUGAGGCACGAAAGCGUGGGGAGCAAAUAGGAUUAGAUACCCGAGUAGUC
rnacentral:rRNA from 1 species